rnacentral:SRP_RNA from 2 species
GCUGGGCGUGGUGGCGCACGCCUGUAGUCCCAGCUACUUGGGAGGCUGAGGCAGGAGAAUCGCUUGAACCCAGGAGGCAGAGGUUGCAGUGAGCCAAGAUUGCGCCACUGCACUCUAGCCUGGGCAACAGAGCAAGACUCUGACUCAA